rnacentral:rRNA from 1 species
GUGGGGAAUAUUGGACAAUGGGCGCAAGCCUGAUCCAGCCAUGCCGCGUGAGUGAUGAAGGCCCUAGGGUUGUAAAGCUCUUUCACUGGAGAAGAUAAUGACGGUAUCCGGAGAAGAAGCCCCGGCUAACUUCGUGCCAGCAGCCGCGGUAAUACGAAGGGGGCUAGCGUUGUUCGGAAUUACUGGGCGUAAAGCGCACGUAGGCGGACAUUUAAGUCAGGGGUGAAAUCCCGGAGCUCAACUCCGGAACUGCCUUUGAUACUGGGUGUCUGGAGUAUGGAAGAGGUGAGUGGAAUUCCGAGUGUAGAGGUGAAAUUCGUAGAUAUUCGGAGGAACACCAGUGGCGAAGGCGGCACACUGGUCCAUUACUGACGCUGAGGUGCGAAAGCGUGGGGAGCAAACAGGAUUAGAAACCCCAGUAGUCC